GAUGAGCGCUGGCGGCGUGCCUAAUACAUGCAAGUCGAGCGAACGGACGAGAAGCUUGCUUCUCUGAUGUUAGCGGCGGACGGGUGAGUAACACGUGGAUAACCUACCUAUAAGACUGGGAUAACUUCGGGAAACCGGAGCUAAUACCGGGUAAUAUUUUGAACCGCAUGGUUCAAAAGUGAAAGACGGUCUUGCUGUCACUUAUAGAUGGAUCCGCGCUGCAUUAGCUAGUUGGUAAGGUAACGGCUUACCAAGGCAACGAUGCAUAGCCGACCUGAGAGGGUGAUCGGCCACACUGGAACUGAGACACGGUCCAGACUCCUACGGGAGGCAGCAGUAGGGAAUCUUCCGCAAUGGGCGAAAGCCUGACGGAGCAACGCCGCGUGAGUGAUGAAGGUCUUCGGAUCGUAAAACUCUGUUAUUAGGGAAGAACAUAUGUGUAAGUAACUGUGCACAUCUUGACGGUACCUAAUCAGAAAGCCACGGCUAACUACGUG
rnacentral:rRNA from 1 species